rnacentral:rRNA from 1 species
GGUGCUAAUACCGUAUAACACUAUUUUCCGCAUGGAAGAAAGUUGAAAGGCGCUUUUGCGUCACUGAUGGAUGGACCCGCGGUGCAUUAGCUAGUUGGUGAGGUAACGGCUCACCAAGGCCACGAUGCAUAGCCGACCUGAGAGGGUGAUCGGCCACACUGGGACUGAGACACGGCCCAGACUCCUACGGGAGGCAGCAGUAGGGAAUCUUCGGCAAUGGACGAAAGCCUGACCGAGCAACGCCGCGUGAGUGAAGAAGGUUUUCGGAUCGUAAAACUCUGUUGUUAGAGAAGAACAAGGAUGAGAGUAGAACGUUCAUCCCUUGACGGUAUCUAACCAGAAAGCCACGGCUAACUACGUGCCAGCAGCCGCGGUAAUACGUAGGUGGCAAGCGUUGUCCGGAUUUAUUGGGCGUAAAGCGAGCGCAGGCGGUUUCUUAAGUCUGAUGUGAAAGCCCCCGGCUCAACCGGGGAGGGUCAUUGGAAACUGGGAGACUUGAGUGCAGAAGAGGAGAGUGGAAUUCCAUGUGUAGCGGUGAGAUGCGUAGAUAUAUGGAGGAACACCAGUGGCGAAGGCGGCUCUCUGGUCUGUAACUGACGCUGAGGCUCGAAAGCGUGGGGAGCGAACAGGAUUAGAUACCCUGGUAGUCCACGCCGUAAACGA